GCAGUGGGGAAUAUUGGACAAUGGGCGAAAGCCUGAUCCAGCCAUGCCGCGUGUGUGAAGAAGGUCUUCGGAUUGUAAAGCACUUUAAGUUGGGAGGAAGGGCAGUUACCUAAUACGUGAUUGUUUUGACGUUACCGACAGAAUAAGCACCGGCUAACUCUGUGCCAGCAGCCGCGGUAAUACAGAGGGUGCAAGCGUUAAUCGGAAUUACUGGGCGUAAAGCGCGCGUAGGUGGUUUGUUAAGUUGGAUGUGAAAUCCCCGGGCUCAACCUGGGAACUGCAUUCAAAACUGACUGACUAGAGUAUGGUAGAGGGUGGUGGAAUUUCCUGUGUAGCGGUGAAAUGCGUAGAUAUAGGAAGGAACACCAGUGGCGAAGGCGACCACCUGGACUAAUACUGACACUGAGGUGCGAAAGCGUGGGGAGCAAACAGGAUUAGA
rnacentral:rRNA from 1 species